UUUUUGGAGAGUUUGAUCCUGGCUCAGGACGAACGCUGGCGGCGUGCUUAACACAUGCAAGUCGAACGGUGAUCUCCGGGCUUUGGUUUGGGGUGAUCAGUGGCGAACGGGUGAGU
rnacentral:rRNA from 1 species